rnacentral:rRNA from 1 species
CUGGCUCAGAUUGAACGCUGGCGGCAGGCUUAACACAUGCAAGUCGAGCGGAUGAAGGGAGCUUGCUCCUGGAUUCAGCGGCGGACGGGUGAGUAAUGCUUAGGAAUCUGCCUAUUAGUGGGGGACAACAGUUGGAAACGACUGCUAAUACCGCAUACGCCCUACGGGGGAAAGGAGGGGAUCUUCGGACCUUUCGCUAAUAGAUGAGCCUAAGUCAGAUUAGCUAGUUGGUGGGGUAAAGGCCUACCAAGGCGACGAUCUGUAGCGGGUCUGAGAGGAUGAUCCGCCACACUGGGACUGAGACACGGCCCAGACUCCUACGGGAGGCAGCAGUGGGGAAUAUUGGACAAUGGGGGCAACCCUGAUCCAGCCAUGCCGCGUGUGUGAAGAAGGCCUUUUGGUUGUAAAGCACUUUAAGCGAGGAGGAGGCUCUUCUAGUUAAUACCUAGGAUGAGUGGACGUUACUCGCAGAAUAAGCACCGGCUAACUCUGUGCCAGCAGCCGCGGUAAUACAGAGGGUGCGAGCGUUAAUCGGAUUUACUGGGCGUAAAGCGUACGUAGGCGGCUUUUUAAGUCGGAUGUGAAAUCCCUGAGCUUAACUUAGGAAUUGCAUUCGAUACUGGGAAGCUAGAGUAUGGGAGAGGAUGGUAGAAUUCCAGGUGUAGCGGUGAAAUGCGUAGAGAUCUGGAGGAAUACCGAUGGCGAAGGCAGCCAUCUGGCCUAAUACUGACGCUGAGGUACGAAAGCAUGGGGAGCAAACAGGAUUAGAUACCCUGGUAGUCCAUGCCGUAAACGAUGUCUACUAGCCGUUGGGGCCUUUGAGGCUUUAGUGGCGCAGCUAACGCGAUAAGUAGACCGCCUGGGGAGUACGGUCGCAAGACUAAAACUCAAAUGAAUUGACGGGGGCCCGCACAAGCGGUGGAGCAUGUGGUUUAAUUCGAUGCAACGCGAAGAACCUUACCUGGUCUUGACAUAGUAAGAACUUUCCAGAGAUGGAUUGGUGCCUUCGGGAACUUACAUACAGGUGCUGCAUGGCUGUCGUCAGCUCGUGUCGUGAGAUGUUGGGUUAAGUCCCGCAACGAGCGCAACCCUUUUCCUUAUUUGCCAGCGGGUUAAGCCGGGAACUUUAAGGAUACUGCCAGUGACAAACUGGAGGAAGGCGGGGACGACGUCAAGUCAUCAUGGCCCUUACGACCAGGGCUACACACGUGCUACAAUGGUCGGUACAAAGGGUUGCUACUCCGCGAGGAGAUGCUAAUCUCAAAAAGCCGAUCGUAGUCCGGAUCGCAGUCUGCAACUCGACUGCGUGAAGUCGGAAUCGCUAGUAAUCGCGGAUCAGAAUGCCGCGGUGAAUACGUUCCCGGGCCUUGUACACACCGCCCGUCACACCAUGGGAGUUUGUUGCACCAGAAGUAGGUAGUCUAACCGUAAGGAGGACGCU